rnacentral:tRNA from 1 species
GCCUGGGUGGCUCAGUUGGUUAAGCGUCUGACUUCAGCUCAGGUCACAAUCUCCCGGUUCGUGGGUUCGAGUCCCUCACUGGCCU